UUCCCUACCCCACAUCUACACCAAAGUCAAGUUGAACCCUUCUCGGGUUUAUUCACCUUCUUCCCUACCCAACAUCACUCACCAUCUCUGUCAUCCUAAACCUCCCAAUUGUUGCCCUAACAGUCAUGGUUGUGCUGCUCGGUCGCCUUAGAAAAUUAUACGACAACAACCUUCCCCACCCCACAUCUGCACCAAAGUCAAGUUGAACCCUUCUCGGGUUUAUUCACCUUCUUCCCUACCCAACAUCAUUCACCAUCUCUGUCAUCCUAAACCUCCUAAUUGUUGCCCUAACAGUCAUGGUUGUGCUGCUCGGUCGCCUUAGAAAAUUAUACGACAACAACCUUCCCCACCCCGCAUCUACACCAAAGUCAAGUUGAACCCUUCUCGGGUUUAUUCACCUUCUUCCCUACCCAACAUCACUCACCAUCUCUGUCAUCCUAAACCUCCCAAUUGUUGCCCUAACAGUCAUGGUUGUGCUGCUCGGUCGCCUUAGAAAAUUAUACGACAACAACCUUCCCCACCCCCACAUCUACACCAAAGUCAAGUUGAACCAUUCUCGGGUUUAUUCACCUUCUUCCCUACCCAACAUCACUCACCAUCUCUGUCAUCCUAAACCUCCCCAAUCGUUGCCCUAACAGUCAUGGUUGUGCUGCUCAGUCGCCUUAGAAAAUUAUACGACAACAAC
rnacentral:lncRNA from 1 species